AACGAACGCUGGCGGCAUGCCUAACACAUGCAAGUCGAACGAGACCUUCGGGUCUAGUGGCGCACGGGUGCGUAACGCAUGGGAACCUGCCUUUAGGUUCGGAAUAACUCAGAGAAAUUUGAGCUAAUACCGGAUGAUGUCUUCGGACCAAAGAUUUAUCGCCUUUAGAUGGGCCCGCGUUGGAUUAGCUAGUUGGUGGGGUAAAGGCCUACCAAGGCGACGAUCCAUAGCUGGUCUGAGAGGAUGAUCAGCCACACUGGGACUGAGACACGGCCCAGACUCCUACGGGAGGCAGCAGUGGGGAAUAUUGGACAAUGGGCGAAAGCCUGAUCCAGCAAUGCCGCGUGAGUGAUGAAGGCCUUAGGGUUGUAAAGCUCUUUUACCCGAGAUGAUAAUGACAGUAUCGGGAGAAUAAGCUCCGGCUAACUCCGUG
rnacentral:rRNA from 1 species